AUGUACUGUCAUUGGUUUACUUUAUUACUAGUCAAGCACACCGACGCGGCCAUCUCCUGUGGACAGGUGAGCUCUGCCUUGAGCCCCUGCAUCAGCUAUGCCCGCUGCAAGGGCGCCAACCCGCCUGCGGCCUGCAGCAGCGGCGUCAGGAGUCUGGCGGGCGCAGCGCGGAGCACCGCUGACAAGCAAGCGGCGUGCAAGUGCAUCAAGAGCGCUGCGGGUGGGCUCAAUGCUGGCAAGGCCGCCGGCAUUCCCUCCAAGUGUGACGUCAGCAUCCCCUACGCCAUCAGCUCUUCUGUCGACUGCUCUAAGAUUCGCUGA
rnacentral:rRNA from 1 species